rnacentral:rRNA from 1 species
CAGAGGGUGCAAGCGUUGCUCGGAUUUACUGGGCGUAAAGCGUACGCAGACGGUGAGAAAGGUCGGAUGUGAAAGCCCCGGGCUCAACCCGGGAACUGCAUCCGAAACCAUUUCGCUAGAGUAUGGGAGAGGGAAGCAGAAUUCCUGGUGUAGAGGUGAAAUUCGUAGAUAUCAGGAGGAAUACCUGCGGCGAAGGCGGCUUCCUGGCCCAUUACUGACGUUCAGGUACGAAAGCGUGGGUAGCAAACAGGAUUAGAUACCCUGGUAGUCCACGCUGUAAACGAUGUGUGCUGGAUGUCGGGGGUAUUCACCCCCUCGGUAUCGAAGCUAACGCGAUAAGCACACCGCCUGGGGAGUACGGCCGCAAGGUUG